rnacentral:sRNA from 1 species
AUCUCUUGCAAAGAGUCUCUGCAAGGGCCAGAGCAGCCUCUUUGGCCCACGGAAGGCCCCGCCUACCGCACAGGAAGAGCGAUGCAUCUUCACCACGGGUUUGGCCAAAGACAUUAGUCACUGGGCGGGAGCUGAGACUGAUAAGCCCUGCCAGGUCCCCCGUGGAGAGAGCCCUAUGGAGCUAACUGGCCAUCAUCUGAGAGCCUUAAGAAUAUGCUUCCUCACCAGGUCAGAUAAUGCUUUCUGCACCCACAGUCUCCUGGAGUGGGCAUCUUAGAUGGCCCACAGGCACUCACAAGGCUCUGGGGCCUCUUACAGAGUACAAUGGGACCCCUGCCCCUGACCUUCAGGGCACCCACAGUGUGGUCCCAGCAGUCAUCCCCUCCCCCACCUGACCCCCCUGCUCCAGCCAGGCCUUUCUCUGCCCCCGCAAAGCCAUUUCCUCUUGAGGCCCUGGCCUGGUUUGCGUGGGCAUUCUCUCUCCUCCGCCCCUCACUGCCUCUGAGCCCUUGGCCUGCAGAGAUCUCUGAAUCCAGGCCACCUGCCUGCCUCCCUCAUUGGGCAGAGGAUCUGCUGCCAUGAGCCCUCUCUCCCUGUUCUUCCCUACGUCUUCUUUGGCCCAGGAGCCCCUCGAGGGCCUGCCUGUGCCUUAGCCACCCACAGCCUUGGAUGGAGGAUGGCUUUGUUUUUCAUCUUUUCAGACACAGUCUCCCUCUGUCCCCCAGGCUGGAGUGCAGUGGGGCGAUCUUGGCUCACUGCAGCCUCCGCCUCCUGGGUUCAAGCGAUUCUCUCACCUCGGCCUCCGGAGUAGCUGGGAUUACAGGCGCCCACCACUAUGCUCAGAUAAUUUUUUUCUAUUUUUAGUAGAGACAGGGUUUCACCAUGUUGCCAAGGCUGAUCUCGAACUCCUGGGCCUCCAGUGAUCCACCUGCCUCGGCCUCCCAAAGUGCUGGGAUUACAGGCAUGAGCACCUGGCCCGAGGACAGCCUUAAUAUAUGUGUGAGGACCGUAGUCAUGAACGGCAUCGGGGAAGAACUGAGUGGCUUGCAUACCACUCUCGGUCUAUUAAGUCAGGCUUCUAGCUCAUCCCUCCUUCCCCUUCUGGGCCAUUAGAAUCCCCACAUCCAAGGAAGGCUAUGAGUCCAAGUUAUUCAACAAAACUUAACACUGAACUUGUGAAUGCUUGUUGCCAGCAGGUUGGGGUUGGAGAGCUGAUGAGAGGGAAUUGGUGUACAAUUCCAUGACAGUAGAACCACCUCCACCAUCUCACUUCAGCUAGACUCUAAGUUUGGCUUUUCUCUGCUAUCUUCACUCUUAAACAUUGCUAUCCCAAGGCUCUCACUGAAGUCUCCUGUGACACAGACAGACUGUGCCACACUCAUUCUGUAGAUGAGUAAACUGAGGUUCACAUAGAUGCAGUAACUCAUGAGAGACCACAUGGCCUAAGCGGCAGAGCUGAAAUUGGAGUCGGCUUUGCCUGGUUCCCACACGGAGGAUUUUCCCUAUAUCUAUCCUCACCCUCUAAGUUCCUCACCUCCCCUCCCCUUACUGGUCACCUCCUUUUCUCUACCCAGUGACACUCUGAACAUCGUGGCAUCAGAUCACCGGCCUUUCACCACAAAGCAGAAAGCUAUGGGCAAGGAAGACUUCACCAAGAUCCCACAUGGAGUGAGUGGCGUGCAGGACCGCAUGAGCGUCAUCUGGGAGAGAGGAGUGGUUGGAGGAAAGAUGGAUGAGAACCGUUUUGUGGCCGUUACCAGUUCCAACGCAGCUAAGCUUCUGAACCUGUAUCCCCGCAAGGGCCGCAUUAUUCCCGGAGCCGAUGCUGAUGUGGUGGUGUGGGACCCAGAAGCCACAAAGACCAUCUCAGCCAGCACGCAGGUCCAGGGAGGAGACUUCAACCUGUAUGAGAACAUGCGCUGCCACGGCGUGCCACUGGUCACCAUCAGCCGGGGGCGCGUCGUGUAUGAGAACGGCGUCUUCAUGUGCGCCGAGGGCACCGGCAAGUUCUGUCCCCUGAGGUCCUUCCCAGACACUGUCUACAAGAAGCUGGUCCAGAGAGAGAAGACUUUAAAGGUUAGAGGAGUGGACCGCACUCCCUACCUGGGGGAUGUCGCUGUUGUCGUGCACCCUGGGAAAAAAGAGAUGGGAACCCCACUCGCAGACACUCCUACCCGGCCUGUCACCCGGCAUGGGGGCAUGAGGGACCUUCACGAAUCCAGCUUCAGCCUCUCUGGCUCUCAGAUCGAUGACCAUGUUCCAAAGCGAGCUUCAGCUCGGAUCCUCGCUCCUCCCGGAGGCAGGUCGAGUGGCAUUUGGUAAAGGCAUUGCCAAGCCCCCCGAGUGAGGAUGCACCGCCGCCACCAGCCCGCAACUCUCCGGCCGCAGCUGCAGGGGCAGGGGAGGCUGGGCUGGGCAGCACACCACCCGAGGGGGGCCCCGGGACCCACGGAGCCCUCCCUAUGUCUGCAAAGUGAUUCACUGUGCUUCGAGCCAACUCUAACAGGCACUUUGAGAUGUGUUCCUCCUGCUGUAGUCCUUUCUGCCUUGGCCUCGGCGGGCUUUUCUGGGGCCCAGGAAGCCCACACUAUGCACAGAGCCCAAUGCAUAGAGCCCUGGCCAGCCCUUCCUCUCACUCCUGCCUCCGCUGGCUUUGGGAAAGCCCAGACUUUAGUGCCCUGCCCCCUGGCUGACUGGCCAGUUGCCCAGAGCACUUUAGCAGAUGUGGUUUCAAAGUAAAGGCCUCCUCCCCCACCCCUUAGGCCCCGUGGUGACAUUUCCCAAGUCAGACAGAUGUCAGCUUCCCAGCCAUGCCCAGGACGUCCUAUCUCCCCCAACCCACCUCUGGCCCUGUGUAGGGGCAGGGAUGGGGGUGGCUGGGACUCCCAGUGCCCCUCGCCAGCUUCUCCUGCGCCCCGCCCACACCUUUGGGGGGGUCACAGGCCCAGAAGGGUAGCUGGGCGGGGCUCGAGGCUGGUGCCAGGCGCGUGUAAAUGGUUUUGUUUUGCACGUUUGAUUUGCGCAGUAGUUUGGUUUGACUUGUUUGUGCAUCCUGUGAAAAAUAACGGUGCUUGUGUCACUAGCAUAGAAUAGCAACAGGAAUAGAUGUGGUCCUUAGGAGACGCUGCACUCGACACCAACCAGACAGCACAGGGCAGGGGCGGUGGAGGGGGCUGGGCUCACAGGCCUCUCUUUUCCCCGCCUGCGGUCUUCUGGGCUGCGGGAGGCCCUGGCCCUUUCCCCUUCCCCUCCCCUCCUUGUCUAGUUUCCCACAUUCCAAAAGGGGGCCUGGGAUGCUAGCCCCGGAGAUGCAAGCCCUUCAGGAAGCAGGUGUCCUUUCCCCUCUCUGCCCCUGAUCACUCCCAGCACUCCCCUUGCCUUCCCCUGUCUUCACCUGCCACCACACACACACACACACACACGCACGGCUUCCUAUAACUUCUUCCUGCUGGACAGAGACUCAGCGCUCCUCCUGUGUGACUGGCAAGAGGCCUCAUGCCUGCUGAGAGAGGAGGAGUGGGAGAGGGGCUUGCCAGACACCAGAGAGGGAGACCCCAGGCCCACAGGACCUGGCUGUCGAACCCGCAUUGCUGCUCAGGUGCCGUGAUCUCCCGUGGUCGGCACCAGGCCCUCGCCAGCUCAUGGCCUCAUCUUCUCCCCUGUCCAUCCAGGUGGGCCCUCCCUGCUUCUAAAGCCCCACAGAAGUUCCCAUGGAAACACUAGAGGCCGGGUGUCUCCUUCCACCUCCAGUGAUCUGGGAAGUGACCCAGCCGCCUGCCCUUGUUAAGCCUUGUCUGCCCCGUGGGAAGUGACUUCAUGUUGCACAUGUGAUUUCAGCCCCCGAGGCUUGCGCGAGGCUUCUGGACCCUCAGUUAAAGGUCAGCCCCUGGCCGGGUGCGGUGGCUCACGCCUGUAAUCCCAGCACUUUGGGAGGCCGAGGCGGGUGGAUCACGGAGUCAGGAGAUCGAGACCAUCCUGGCUAACACGGUGAAACCCCGUCUCUACUAAAAAUACAAAAAUUAGCCAGGCGUGGUGGUGGACGCCUGUAGUCCCAGCUACUGAGGAGGCUGAGGCAGGAGAAUAGCAUGAACCUGGGAGGUGGAGCUUGCAGUGAGCCAAGAUCACGCCACUGCACUCCAGCCUGGACGACAGAGUGAGACUCCAUCUC